rnacentral:rRNA from 1 species
AUUGAACGCUGGCGGCAGGCCUAACACAUGCAAGUCGAACGAAUGGCGGACGGGUGAGUAAUAUCUGGGAAACUGCCUUAUGGAGGUGGAUAACUACUGGAAACGGUAGCUAAUACCGCAUACCAUCAGCUGUGCCCAGAUGGGAUUAGCUAGUAGGUGGGGUAACGGCUCACGUAGGCGACGAGCCCUAGCUGGUCUGAGCGGAGGACCAGCCACACUGGAACUGAAAAAGGGUCCAGAAGCCAAGGGGAGGCAACAGUGGGGAAAAGUGCACAAUGGGCGAUAGCACGGUGCAGCCGUGCCGCGAGUAUGCAGAAGGCCUUCGGGUUGUAAAGUACUUUCAGCGGGGAGGCGUUACCCGAAGAAGAACCACAUACUAACACCGUGCCAGCAGCCGCGGUAAUAC